rnacentral:rRNA from 1 species
GACGAACGCUGGCGGCGUGCCUAACACAUGCAAGUCGAACGAGUGGCGAACGGGUGAGUAAUACGUGAGUAACCUGCCCUCUGUUUGGGAUAAGCCUUGGAAACGGGGUCUAAUACCGGAUAAAGGGGGAUGGGCUCGGGGCCUAUCAGCUUGUUGGUGGGGUGUUGGCCUACCAAGGCGGUGACGGUUAGCCGGCUUGAGAGGGUGACCGGCGACAUUGGGGCUGAGAUACUGCCCAGGCUACUACGGGGGGAAGCAGUGGGGGCUAUUGGACAAUGGGGGAAAGCCUGAUGCAGCGACGCCGCGUGGGGGAUGAAGGCUUUGGGGUUGUAAACCUCUUUCGCUAUAGAACGGGUAGGUGGAGAAGAAGCGCCGGCUAACUACGUGCCAGCAGCCGCGGUAAUUC